UAAUAUUUACCACGUACCGAGCUUGAAAGCCCAUUAAGCUGCAUAACGCCUUGAUCAAUCUCCAUAUCUCCGCCUCUUUUAAUAAAGCCACACGUUCGUAACCCCACGACGCUGCAUCUGACCUCUGCCUGGAUCGCAGCUCCAACUCAAACUGCUCCUUCCGGUCAUCGGAGCUUCAUCACAGGUCAAUCCGGCUCCUUAAUUCAUAUUUGGAUUUCACUCAUCAUGUACAUCCCUCUGUUUGCUUGCUGAGGAAAUUGGAAAAAUCGAUUGUUUCUGAAUUUUUUUCUCUUCUCCUAAGAUUUGUACAUUCCACUUCACGUUAUUUGAUUAUCUGCACUUAUCUAAAAAAACAAAAUAGUACGAGUUUUUUUGUUUGAAUUGAUCCAAAUCUGAAAGAUUCUGCUUUUUUUUCUCCUGAUUUUUGUGUAUAUCGAUUUGUUCUGGAACUUUAAAUGCUAUAUCUUGCUUUACUUGAUCUUUACAUUUAGUUAAUGAAUGGAUCCAGUGGGGUAAUCUUAAUCUAGCCUUCAUUGAUAGCUCAAGUGUUGUUGGGUUAGACAUUCUUGUAAGAAUGCUUUCUCUCAAGAUUGGGUUAUAGUAAAGAGGUCUUAAUAGGAACUCAUGAAGGAAGACGUGCUUUCUUUAUUUUUCAUAGAAAUGAUCUUAAAUAAUUUCUCAAAAAAGGAAAAAGAGGAUCCGAAUAGAAGAAGAAAGAAAGAAGAUUUAUGUGUUUCGACUGGGUUGAAAUUUUGAAACCCUACUUGUUGGAAUAUUUUGAUUUUUGAGUUUCUUUCUUUCUCUUUUUUCCCUUUGGGUUACGUUUAGUUAUGGCUUUGUUUAUUGGUCUGACAAAUGUUACUUCGUUUAGGUGCUUUUAUCUGUUCUAGAAUUUAUUUCCUGGAAUAGAUGAUCCAGUUAUAGAUAUUUUCAGUGCUUGCUCAUUCAUGGUAAAACCUAUUAUGAGAAUCCCUUGUAUCUUUUGUGCUUCUUUUAGUUUAGGAUGUGAAAAGUAAUUGAAGUAUUAGAUGGAUUCAAAUAAUAAUCUUUGUAUUUAUCAAAAGGAACGAGCAAAAAAUGACCUGAGUCAAGUAUAGACCCCAGACCAUGACCUUAAUCAUCAUUUUGGAUGAGAAGUCACCACUACAGUACUUUUUCAGUGUUUAGGCAGUAUGAAACAGAUAUUUGUAGAUUGGCCUAUGGAUAAUUAGUGACAUAUAUCCAGUUUAUCCUGAACAUCAUUAGGUUAGUGAAAAUCGAAAAUCAUAACUUUCUAGACGCAUGAUACCUCUUGGAUGCUCCAUGUUAAUUCUUGUAAGUGUUAGCUAUAAUUUACAAGAACUCUUGUAGUGUAUUAAAAGGUCAUGUUUCAUGAUAGUAUUAAAAGAGAUUCUUACUGCUGAAGUGCACUAUUUGUUUGAUUCAGUUAUUAUGAGUCAAUUUUAUUAAAUGUAUAUACAGUAUUACUUAAGAAUUUUUUUUUUGAAAUAACAGUUUGACAUAAGAAUAAACUGACAUUUGUAUACUCUUAAAGUUAUUGGUACUAGAUUUAUAACCCGUGCUGCACACGAAUUAUACAAUUAAGUUACUUUUUAAUUAUAGCAAACUUUUAAAUAAAUGGUUAAUAUGCAACAAAUUUUAUCACAGUUGUGAGGAUAAUUUAAAAAAUUUGUAUGACAUACGUCUCUAGUGGCUGCUAGUUCAAGAAUAUACAUAGAUAUGUUGAUACAUAUUCCUUCUACGUAGCACUUGGCUUCCCCUCCCUACUCCCCCCCCCCCCCCCCCCAGCAAAAAAAAAAAAAAAAAAAAAACAAGGGGUAUCCAGGUUACCACAUCCAUAUUCAUGUUAUCCAGGACAUUUACGGGCAUAAAUAAGUAUAUUUUGGAUUUUGUUCCUAAAGAAACACAUUUUUUUCAGGGAUCCUAGAGGAAAGAAGGAAGGACAAGGUGUGGAGGAACCAACAGGUUGCACGUUAAGCUCAUUCCGUUAGUAGGGAUUUAGGGUGNN
rnacentral:lncRNA from 1 species